rnacentral:rRNA from 1 species
GACGAACGCUGGCGGCGUGCUUAACACAUGCAAGUCGAACGGAAAGGCCCUGCUUUUGUGGGGUGCUCGAGUGGCGAACGGGUGAGUAACACGUGAGUAACCUGCCCUUGACUUUGGGAUAACUUCAGGAAACUGGGGCUAAUACCGGAUAGGAGCUCCUGCUGCAUGGUGGUGGUUGGAAAGGUUCGGCGGUUGGGGAUGGACUCGCGGCUUAUCAGCUUGUUGGGGGGGUAGUGGCUUACCAAGGCUUUGACGGGUAGCCGGCCUGAGAGGGUGACCGGCCACAUUGGGACUGAGAUACGGCCCAGACUCCUACGGGAGGCAGCAGUGGGGAAUAUUGCACAAUGGGCGGAAGCCUGAUGCAGCAACGCCGCGUGCGGGAUGACGGCCUUCGGGUUGUAACCCGCUUUCGCCUGUGACGAAGCGUGAGUGACGGUAAUGGGUAAAGAAGCACCGGCUAACUACGUG